rfam:Astyanax mexicanus chromosome 6, whole genome shotgun sequence.
GUGUGUUUAUGACAGGCUGACUCUAAGCUCUUAUGACGGAUCAGCCUUGAUGCUCCAUAC